rnacentral:lncRNA from 1 species
GCGGCCCUAUCUUGCUGCAGGUAUGCCUGCUGCUCAUGGAGGGAAGAAGUGAGCUUGUAAUCCCUUUGGAGCUAGAGUUACAGAUGGCUAUGAGUUGCCACAGGGAUCCUGGAGAUUUGACCGAGAAGACCACUCACAGGUUGAUCCUCUUGUUCCACGAUGUGAGUUGCAGAUAUCAAACUCAGGUGGCCAGGCCUGGCAGCAAGCUCUUCUGGCCGUUCAGCCAUCUCACUGGCCCUGUGGAAAUCUUUUGAAGAAGAUGGACUCACAUGAGCACAAGUUCAGAAAUGAAUAGUUUGAAAGUAGGUUCUUG